UUAACUCUAGUUUGCGGCCGCCUCUUCCGGAAGAAGCCGAGAUGGAAUCAUGUAGCCUGUUUACCACCAAGUCCUGCUUCUCUAGAGAGGAAACAGAGGCCCACGUGGCAAGCUAAGGAUUAAAUGGCUGAUUAGUGCUCUGGUCCUUUUAUUAAGCACUGAAACCUUGAUCCAAUAAUAAAUUUGUCCAAUAAAAGGAGCUUCCCUAGCUGGUUCUAACUUCUGUUCUUCAAUAGGCCUGUGCAUCUUCUACAAACAUCCGGAGGGGACUUCACUGCCUGGAGACCAAAGCCUAAACUGUUACCAGUGACAUUGUGUAGCUCAUGCUCCAGCAGCCUGAGUUCCAGCAAGGCUAUCUAGAUGUUCAAUCUAUUUAACUCAGUGACUACUUCAUUCUAGUUAACUGAGCAUCUACUUUGGAUAAGGCACCAUGGAGGUUCAGAGGGAAGAGCUGUAUCUGUUUUGGUAAACACUUCAAGGCACGUUCGGUGUCAUGUGCGAUGAUGCAAAAGUAAGGACUCCAUUCUGAACAACUGGUUUCAAGCUAUCAACGUGAAGGCACGGAAAACAGAGCUGGGAAGAGGUGUGCAUACUUGGGCCCCACAAGGUAGAAGGUAGGGAAGGUGAAACCAACAAGGUCAAAGGAAACUCAAGAUGCUGGGGUGUACCAGGUCUAAGGGAUAAUGAAGUCUAAAGAGUGUCUAACGUAGAGUGACAGCAGAGGUCAUGCAGCUGAAGAGGUGAACACAGAGAUUAGAAGGAGCCCUCAGUCUAAGGAGGGUGACUGUGGAGAAAGGGGCAGAGGAUGGAGU